AUCGUUUUCUGAAAGGUUUUUCUCGGGACAAGGGUAAAAACCAGCUCUCUUUGUCCUAUUGCUUUAUCCAUUACAAAGAGAAUGAGGGACGGAUCUCUGGAGACAAGUGUAUCAAGGUUAAGGAAUAAUGAAUAAUCAAUAAGGCCACGUCUCCACCAGAGAAAAAUGUUGCAGCCUGAACAUGAGAGCUAAAGAAGAUUUAAAUACAGUUUUGUGCCAUCCACUCCAGCUUUGCUAAUAUGAGCUGUGAGUCAGCAUCCUCUUCUAAAUCACUGCAAUUGCCACAUCCUCCAAGAACGAGCCCUGCAAUGCUUCCCACGGCCCCUGGGAGCUCAGGCUUCUGGGAAGAGGCAAAAGCCAGGACUGAAGGAAAAGAAUUACUGACACUGCUCAGGCACUCACCCAACAAUGGCACCUCUUAAAAUUGUGCAUUUUGAAUCAGCAAGUCCCUUCCAAGGGGGGACUUGCAGAGAAGCCAAGCAGAGCGCCUUCCAACACUGGCAUUAGUGUUAUAUAUGAAUAUUUAUUCUAUAUAUUGAACGGAUAAACCACUAGAACUGUCUCUGUGGAAAAAGGGGGAAUUAGCUCUCCAAAACUGCACAUUAUGCUGGAGACUAAAAUGUUUUGGAGAGAGGGAUGGUGUUUCCAGUUCUGCCACUGACCUGCUCUGGAAGUGACCAGGGUCUUUGCCCCCUGAGCAACAGGUAACAAAUGUGCCCUGCAGUGAGACAAAGAGACCAAAAAAAAACUUGUGACUCUCCAAGGUAAAACUAUUCUAUUCCAAAAUCACAUUGCUAUGCAGCACUCACUCCUCUGCCUAUUUAAGCUGAAUGUAAAUGCAGGCUGCUAUAAUCUUGUAUUAUAAGAAAAACACUAAAAAAACACCCAAAAAGACAUAACAACCUCCACUACAGAUACAAUCAAAACAGCCUUUAAUUAUUUGCAGGCAGUACUUUGCCACGUACCACAGUUAUUCAUUUAUACUUAAAAAAAUAAUAACCCUACUCUAUUUGAUAGUUGGUGAUACUGAAUUAAUAAUUUGAGCAAGUCAGGAGGAAGUUAAUGUAAUCCUCAAUUUGCUUUACAUCUUCAGAGUCACCUACGGCACUUUACAAGGCAGGUAAUAUUAUCACAGCUGGACACCUUGGUAAUCUUCUGAGCUCUUUCUCCUUUUCAAAAUAAAUGUUACAGAUUUACCUUGAUACUGCUAAAAUAGCUGUUCAUUUACUUCAAGAGAUGAAAGAAAGCAGGUGAAUUAACAGAACCCCAUCACACUGCACACAAAUUCCAGCAGGGCACAACACAAAUGGGAGGUCCAAGGCUGCAGAUGGACCAGCCACUUCUCCCUUUUCAAGGGGAGGUUUGGGUCCAGCUCCUGCAACCUGGCUUUUUGUUUGCCCUGUGAUCCAAAGGAUUUGUAGAAGAUGGCAGAUGCUCCAUAAGAGCAGACUUGCUACUUGGAAACCUCAGCUUGACUCUUUGAGGCUGAAACUGAAAAGAGAGGUGGCAAGGACCCCCAAAUUUAACUAC